rnacentral:misc_RNA from 1 species
CAAAAUUCCCAUUUGUCCUUUUUAAUACAUCUUAUUUCAGUCCGAGAAAGAGGAGGAAGAAGAAGAAAAAAGAAGAGAUGGGAGGAGGCAAUGGACAGAAGUCAAAGAUGGCUCGCGAGAAGAACAUGGAGAAGCAAAAAGCUGCCGCUAAGGGUAAUCUCAACCCUUUCUUUUUAUAGAUAGCUCAAAAGAGAGGAUAUUUUCCUCUAUUAUUCCCUUGAAAAUGGUAAAUAGAAUGAAAUCAUGUAAACUGAAUAGCUGAAUCAGAUUCAGUUGACUGAAAGAUUUUUGUUCCGAUAGUUCUCUCUUAAUCGAAGACGGGAUUUUCUUCUUUGAUUAGUUGAAAUUUUCUUAAACCUUUGUUCAAUCUUCUUUUUACUCGAGAUCUAUAUAGUAAUAGUCAUGUUUUCACCUGGGUAUUGUCCGAUCUGUGUGCAGGAAGUCAGCUUGAAUCAAACAAGAAAGCCAUGACGAUCCAGGUACCGUUCUGGGCUUGGCUCCUUCUUUUCCCCCAUAAAAUUUCCUCUACUUUUGCUUUUGGUUUGUGAUUGUUUGCGUCUGAUGUUGGUUUGCAGUGCAAGAUUUGCAUGCAGACAUUCAUUUGCACCACAUCAGAGGUGAAGUGCAGAGAGCACGCCGAAGCAAAACACCCAAAAUCAGACGUAUAUGCUUGUUUUCCACACCUCAAGAAAUGAAGUGAUGACGGGGGAAUAAUAAGAAUUUGUAGAGAUGGGUUCCAAGAUCCUGCAUAUCAUAUCAUGGUGAUAGAAUUUGGAGCUUUUGCAAAUCAAUCCAUCCAAAAACUCUCUUGGAUAGUUAUGUCUCUUAUUUAUUAUUUCUAAUUCCUAUGAAUUUCUGAUUUCAGAUUCACACCUCUGUGGUGUGGGUGUGGCUUGCUUUGUUCUAGAAAAAGAACAUAAAAUCAAUUAAUUAAUCAAUUCGAUUCAUCCAGGCUGAGAGACCAGCUAAUCAAUGGAGGCUUAAGUUCAUCUACAAAAGUUUGUCGUGUAAAACUAUAUAGUCUGUUGGCCUAAAGCAGGGCGAUAUAAACUGGAUGAUGAAAUGUUAUACGGUAAAUUAAAAUAACUAAGUGCUUUUGUGCUCGUAAAAUUCCAUCCUAAAUUGGACUUUUUACCAUAUGAUUGUAACACCCCAAAAUUUUAAUUAAAAUUUUUAUGAGUAUUUUGGUAUUUUAAUUUUAUUUAA